UAUUGAUGUAACUGGAGUGAAUAAGGGAACCUUCUUCCUGAGCACAGACAUUGGAGCCUGUUAUCAGCAUGAACUCAUAUGUGUUAGACAAACACCUGAACAGUUCAUAUCCAUCCUUCACUACAGGAAGCAUCAGAAUGAUACCGCAAACUCCAAUAGUCUUAGACACCAAUGAUUAUUAACAAACAUUGGGAAUAUCACAGCAGAUAUUUAAAGAAAAUGGUGAAUUGGCAGGAACUGGGAAGCAAUCAUUAUGUACAGAGAGUAAUUUAGUCAUCAAACAAGAGGACAACAUUUAUGACUUAUCUAGUGAAAUGAUUAUCCCAGAGGAUAAACCACACACAUUUACUGAGUUUUCAAAACAUUUUAAAGAAGGGAAAAGUCUACAGUCUAGCCAAAUGAUUCAUACAAAGGAGAAACCAUUCAAAUCUACAGAAUGUGAGAAAAGCUUUAGAUGGAAAUCUUUACAAUAAAUAUACCGAAUAUCACAAAGAAAAAAAUGUGAAAUAAAUGUGAUAACAAAAAUCAUAAAAGGAAAACCAAAUAAAGUUCUGAAUCAAGGA